AUGAGACAAUUCCUGAGUUGGCAAAAUUGUUGUUAAGUUUGACUCGGAUUGUUGUAUUUGUUGUUGACUACAGAAAAGCUCAUUCCGAGUCAUCAAAACAAUGGCUUUCCAUACUCGAGAAAGAAAACGUACCUGUUCUUGUUUGUUUAACAUUUGGUGACAGACUUUUUGUUGAAUUAAUG